CGCGGGAUGGAGCAGUUGGCAGCUCGUCGGGCUCAUAACCCGGAGGUCGUAGGUUCAAGUCCUACUCCCGCAA
rnacentral:tRNA from 1 species